rnacentral:rRNA from 1 species
CGGGGGGGGCAAGCGUUGUUCGGAAUUACUGGGCGUAAAGGGUCUGUAGGUGGCUUGCUAAGUCAGACGUGAAAUCCCUCAGCUUAACUGGGGAACUGCGUCUGAGACUGGCGAGCUUGAGGGCAGGAGAGGAACGCGGAAUUCCAGGUGUAGCGGUGAAAUGCGUAGAUAUCUGGAGGAACACCGGUGGCGAAGGCGGCGUUCUGGACUGCAUCUGACACUGAAAGACGAAAGCCAGGGGAGCAAACGGGAUUAGAUACCCCGGUAGUCCUGGCCCUAAACGAUGAAUGCUUGGUGUGGCGGGUAUCGAUCCCUGCCGUGCCGUAGUUAACGCGAUAAGCAUUCCGCCUGGGGAGUACGGUCGCAAGGCUG